UACCAAAGGAUAAUAGUAUUCCACUGGUCUUAGGCACCAAAAUCCUUGGUGCAAA
rnacentral:tRNA from 7 species